UCCUCGGCCUCUAACCAGUUGUACUGC
rnacentral:piRNA from 1 species